GCACUUCGUAAAGCUAAAUUAAUCCCCCCACACACCUUUGACAGUUGGAAAAAUGCUUCCAUACGUGUGGACCGACCGACAGAUGGGUUAUGGAGCUCCUCACAGCAGCAGCAUAAGACAUCUCAGUAGUCAGUGCCAUCCUCUCCAGCUCCCACAUGCAAAAGCUCUCCACACAUGCCCUGGCAGCAACUUGGCACAAACAAAGUACAAGGGCAACCAGCUAGCACAGCUCUUCUGUGAUCUCUCGUUUACCCGUGGAGGAGCAAAAGGCCACUUGCUUCCCUGCGACACAACAGCUAGAGCUAAGCUGCCGGAAUGAGGAGAAGGUCUGGAAAGUCUGAAAUGCCCAGAGGGGAUGCUUCAUGUACUAACUUGCCUGCAUGAGAAGACCCAAACCUUCAUCAUUGUUUGAAGUGUCCUGGCCAUCAAGGGAUUUCCACUUUGAGGAUUAUGCAGCUUGCACAGCAAAACGCAUCAGUAUAUUGAGCAACCACAACAGCAACCAUGUGAAGGCAGGUGCUUAAUAGACACUGCCCAGGAAGCCAUGAGCUAUCCCAUGCUGCUGACCUGCCAGACCCUCGGAGGUGGUGCAGAGCUGAGCAAGGACAAGUCACAGCCCAAGCAGCUGCCCCUGGCCCCUUUGUCACUACACCGAGAGCUGCUCCCAGCAGCAUGGAGCUGGAGUUGGUUCUGGAUCUACUCUUUGCUCUGUACCGCUAUUUGUACGGCUGCUUUCACUCUGCAGUGCUUUCACUCUGCAGCGCAGCAUGACUGUGAGGUAAAACAAGUGCCUAUCACUGCAGUGUACAACUUGACAGCAAGCUAGAUCACUUCAUGCAGGUACCGAGCAAGGAAAGCGGCGUACAUCAAUGGCUGCCUCAAGAAUUACUCCUAAUUACCAUCAGAUGUGCAACAAAUAGCUAUUGCACAUUUCGUGUUUAACAAAGUUUUCACCCAACAGGCCAUCCUGCCUUUCAAAGGCUGCUGCAGGCGCUUGUUCCAUUCUCUCUGUACUCUACCACUGCAAAAAAAUGGGAGUUUCUCACAACUUAGCAAAACGACACAGACAACAGAGCAUCACCAUACGCACUACAAUCUGACACAGGGAAUGGCCCAAGAGAAGAUGCUUUCCAGAUGCAUCAGUUUAUUCUCUACCACCACAAAAAGAGAUCCGGAAAGAAAAAAAAAUGUGUUUGUGGAUGCAACACCCGCAGCAGAUGGCAAUAAAAGAAGACUCAAAUUAGUGGCAUUCAGUAUCGCCAAACCUAAACUUCAUCUCAGAUCAACACUACCCAUAAUAGUGUUUAAGUAGGAAAAGAAAUUUACUCAAAUGUGAAAUAAGCUAUUACACAUUCUUAGUUCUGAUUCACAGUCUCAGACUGGCAGUGACAGUAACAUUUUAAUAAACAUUAGAAUGAAGACACCAAUAUGACCAAAUGACACACUUAAAGUGAGAAAACGAACAGGAGAAACCUUGGCAUAUUCAUCCAAAACAGAACCAAAGGAGAAAAAAAAAAGGCAGAGAAACUCCUUUUGCAAUCCAAACAGUAAAUACUUUAUUGUAAUUUAUUAGACAGAAUGAGAAUGUAAAUGAGAAAUUGGGAAAGCCAAUAUUUUCUUUAACAGGCACUCGAAGCAUUUGCUGCGAAUGCUGAAGUCAUCAGGCUGUUUGCUUACAGCCAGCCCACAGAUCUGCUCGCAGCCGCACAGCUCCCAGUGCAUUCUGCAAGGGGCAGGGACGUGGCCAGGCGCUCCCCAAUCCCGGAGCCAUGUCUCAAUUAAACAGCCAGGAAUGUUAUCAAUCAGAGGCUUCCCGGCGCACACACACACAGACGGUGAAAUUCAUCCCCCAAGUCAG